AACACCAACCCAGGCUACUAGCCUUGUGGAUAUCGCCUAUACAAAACUUAAUGAGACCUCCUAUGCUCUCACAUUCGAAUUUGAAAUCAGUAAUAUAUCCAUGUCUGAGAAACGUGAACUAAGGAAUGAAACCAAAACUUCAAUCAAAAGCACUAUAAAUACAUUGCUUGUCGACAUCCUAAAGGAUCCCUCAGCUUCUCAGUUUGAUCUGCAAAACGUUAAAUUUGAUGAUAAUAGCACAGUGAUUCUGGCCAGUGUGCAGUAUGUUUUCUCACAAAGUGACUUGAACACAAACAGCAACCUUUGUCAAGGAAAUAUUCAGUGCUAAGGAAGUCUUAACGACAGCCAGUGCUCUGACAACAAGCACAACUUCUCCGCCAACAUUGCUUGGGAAGGUGAUCAUAUACAUCCGCCUUGUUUUUAAAAACACGGGGUACUAUCCCCAAGUGAGAGUAACGUUGGUAAAUGUGGC